rnacentral:rRNA from 1 species
GACGAACGCUGGCGGCGUGCCUAACACAUGCAAGUCGAACGAAGAAUGUUUUUCGGAAUAUUCUUAGUGGCGGACGGGUGAGUAACGCGUGAACAAUCUGCCCCGUACAAAGGGAUAGCCUCGGGAAACCGGGAUUAAAACCAUAUAACGCUUAACUGCCGCAUGGUAGUGAAGUCAAAUCGAUUAAGAGGUAUGGGAUGAGUUCGCGUCUGAUUAGCUAGUUGGUGAGGUAAGGGCUCACCAAGGCGACGAUCAGUAGCCGGCCUGAGAGGGUGAACGGCCACACUGGAACUGAGACACGGUCCAGACUCCUACGGGAGGCAGCAGUGGGGAAUAUUGCACAAUGGAGGGAACUCUGAUGCAGCGACGCCGCGUGAGUGAAGAAGGUCUUCGGAUCGUAAAACUCUGUCCUUGGUGAAGAAAAGGACGGUAGCCAAGGAGGAAGCCCCGGCUAACUACGUG